CUGGAAUUUUCAAGUUGAAAUUCAAAAGCUGUGCAUAUCUUUUCUUGUUUCCCGCUACUGAGAGUAGAAUAAAAGCUUCACAUGGAACAGUUUUGGACCAUCCCCAUGUAGAGGAUGAUACAGAUAACAAACUCUCUGGUGGGAAAUGGAAGAGAAACUUGUAAAAAACUUUACAGAAAA
rnacentral:lncRNA from 1 species